CACUGGAGCAGUUGCCUUGUUAAGUGGAGGAAAAAUGUCACAGUUCUUACUUUGCUUUUGGUUGUAGUUCCCUUUUCCCCUUUUCUUCCAUUUCCCCUUUCCCUCAAUUUCUGUGAGCAAUCAAAACCAAUAUAAUAUGCUAUGUUUAUCUGGUUUUGUGGGAAGGUAUUUUAGAGUUGAGUAUGUCUGCUUGAAAAAGGGCUCUCCUCUGCUUUCUCUGAAGUUAAACUAAAAAAGUCUCUUAAUGUAUGUGAACCAUGAGUCUAGAUUAGCUAAAUAGUUUUUAUUUUCUUUCUGAUUAUAUUCACUGUGUCAUCAAUCCUGCAUUUAAGGUGCUUGUUGCAAUGUCUUAGCUUUCCUCAAGGAAUCUAUAACACUCAUCUCUUCCCAAGAGAGGUGUUGGAGGACAUGCUUUUUCUACUAAAAUGUGUUUGAUUUAAUCCCUAGUGGUCCCUAGAACUCCUUAGGCUGCUACUAGGUUGUAGUGUCUGGGGAAGAGAAGGGUGCAAGAAGAAAAGGAGGAGCCAAACCAUUUUUAUGGGACAGUGAUCCUCAAAGUGAGGGCCAUGUCAGCUCCCUGAUGAAUCCUGGGAUAAGUUCAAGCAUCAAGAUAGCUGGGCAAAACUUGUUCACGCAUGGCCCCACUUACUCCCUCACCCCUCUACCUCAGAAUGGGACUUGCCUGGGUGCUAAACAUCCUGUGUGCCUCAGCACCUGACACAGAGGGUGGAAACCAGCUGGGUUAGGUGCUGCCUUUCCCCUUGGGAAAUGGAGUUACUGCCCAUGCUCUGCGAGAGUGGAAGGCCUUGGAUGCACCCCCUCUUCUCUCUCUUCAUCUCCCUUCUUUCUGCGUAUUCCAUGCACGUAUGUGGGAUCCGCUGGGGAGGGUUGAGGGGUCUGAGCACUGCUUUUGUGAAGGAUGUGUUGAAAAGUUGUGACAAAGCUGUGUCAUCUGGAUAUUCCUGUGUAAAUUUUGAAAGUUUCCAUGGGAACUUACUGCUGGCCUUUGCACUUUGAUGUCUAGAUGCUUGUUAUGUGGAUGCCCUAAACUUUCUGUCUAUAAUAAGGAUAUUAAUUCUUUUGGUAUUUUGUUUUUUACAGGACUAUUAUGACUUGGACUGCUUUUCUCUUGACUCAUGAGAAUGGCAAUUGGUAACCUACUAAUAUUUCUGCCCACAAGGGUUUGUAAUUUUAGAAGUAAUCACUUCAUGGCUGAUGUAAAUUUUGUAAUGAGAAAUACUAGAUUUAUGACUGCAGGAUUUCUCACAGACUGUUUUAUUGCUUAGAGGAAUUGCUUUCUCUGUUGGGAAAAUCCAUCAUUAGAUGUCUGCCUCAAAUGUUUUGUGGGCUGUUUAUGCUUGGAGAAUGUUAAUGCAAUCAUUGAAACAAUAACUAUGAUUUGAGAUAGUAUAAUUGUUCCCCUUUCCUUUACUCCAGACAGAAAGAGAGCUGCCAAUGAAGUUAGGCAUAGGUCUGUAAGAGGACUUUACAGUCAGAAUGUAGUUGCAAUGUCUGGUCAUUUGGUUCUUGCCCCAUCUUUUAAGGUCAUUCUGCUUUCCUGGAAUAGGUAACUGAUUUCUGUACAUACUAGCUAAGAAGAGUUGUUUGGAAGAGUUCAGGAUACACCACCUCUGUCAUGGCAAUGAUAAUAACUGAUUUUGAGGAAAGUUUUUACUGCUGCAUUUUUGUGUGGAGGCUGUCUAGGUAAAAAUACUUCUUGCCUGUGGGACUGAUGUUCUUGGGCAGGAUGUUAGGGGGAGAAACUGCAGUUCCAGAUGAAGAUCAGACCUCGAAGAUGUGAAUUUCUCAGACAUACUGGAGCUGAGGUGUUUCCAGCCAUGCCUGCUGGAUGUGGAUAUUUUGGGACCUACCUUGCUCUUGUAAUGAAAACCUUAGCAUCUCCAGGGUUAGUUGAUGUAGGUUUUGAGAAUUAAAAGUUCUGUUUUGAAAUAUAAAAUAUGGGUACCUAGUACUGGAAUUUACAGUGGAUCUGUGGCCAAUGUUUUCUGUAGGCUUGUGCUCUCCAGUGAUUUAUUGUGGCUCUGCUGCGUGGUGUUGGGCAGUGGGCACUGCCUAGAGGCUCUACAGGUCCUCAGGCUGUUUCUGAGCAACUGCUGGGUGAGCAUGACAGAAGGGUGCUUGGUUUAUCAACUCUUCCUAUUACUCCCACAUAAAGAUGAGCUAGUAUGGUCUGGGAGCACUAGACAAUAACUGCAUGAACAUUACUGUUGUUGCAGCUAAAGAAGUUGCUGUUAUGUAUAGUUUUAUUUUUGGUUUAUGUGCUCUUUCACUGUGAGUGGAGUAUGAGUGUGCUUUUGUAUUUAAGUGAAGAUAACUGCUAAGCUUUCUAUUUUAAUUUAGUAUCAUUUUGCCAGCACUAUGCCAGUAGCAUAUCUCAGUAGAGAAACUGCUUCAGUCAGCAAGGUCUUUCCUUCUUGGGUCUGCAUCUAUAAAAAGAAAUAGAAGAGAGAAUGAGAAUGAGAGAACGAUCUUGGAACCAUCAUGCUUUGAAAGCAGUACCAUGUAACCUCUAGUACCUUAAUUUCUCAAAUAUAUUUUUCCUACAUGUACUCUAGUGCUGCUAAAGGCAUCUGUUUUGUGGAGCACAGGCAGCAGGGUAGAGAUGAAGGUGUGAACCCUUCCUUGUCUGAGUCACUCACCUAGUCCUUUUGCAUCCUGCUAUAUCUCAUUUUGCCCCAGUGCCUGCUCUUAAGGACCUGACUGAAGCCCUCGUGUCACUUCACUGCUUCUGUGAAGCUGCAUUGUUGCUUGGAUUAGCAUUUCUUUUCAUUUCUUACUUUCUGUGUGCAAUAGGUGUAUUCUGGGUGGAAACAUAUGCUACUGGAGAAUCACCUUUGAUGUAUUGGAGUUUUAAAUCUUUGUCUGAUUUAGCAUAUUUUUGCUUUUUAAUGUAAUUCAUUUCUGCACUGCUGAUCUUAUUCUGUAUUGAAACAGCACAUUUGUGCAUGAUUCAAGUUCGUUUCUGGAAACCAGUUUCAAUAACUUUCAUUUAUUUAAACUAUUAAAAUAGUUUAAAAUACAGAGAACAGUACCACUCUCGCUUUCUAUUCAAAUUGCUGCUCUAACCAUUGAAAUAAGCUUGAAAUAAAGUAUCUUGGGUUCUGCUUGACCUGAUUCAAUGUAACACUUAAAAAGUAGAAUUACUGCGAAGAUAGAUGCAUUCCCUAUUUGGCUCAGGCUAUUGAAAUGGGAAUGGUAUGAGUUUGCCACAGCUAUUAAUAUGAUAUUAAUCCAGGGUAUAUUAUAUAUUGCUUUAAAGUCUUAUCGGAAGGACUGGAUAUCCUUUUGUAAUGUGUUCCUUUGCUUUUUCUGUACACUGAUAUUUUGUAGACGAGCCAUUGCUCAAUAUGUAAAGUCUAAAUGGCCCUUCUUAUUCGAUCAAGUGUGAUGUUAUUGAAUGCCUUACAAAGAGGCUGUAUCCUCUGCACAUUAAGUUUGAGUCUGGUGAUUAUUAAAAAAUCCAGACUUUUCAGAUGCUAAAUAUGUGCUCUAUCUUGCAAGCUAAAAAUGGUAGACUCCUGACAGUUUUGGGCUGUUGAGGCUAAAUGACUCUCUUAUGUCCAUCCUUCUCUCUUUUGUCCAUAUGGUUUCUGUGUUAGAUCCAAAUUCUUAGCAGUAUUAAAUACCUCUGUGGAUCCAGAUGGCUAGAAAGCACAGUCCUAUUUUCUGAAUCAAGGCUCUUUGUUAUUUUGAUUUUACCUAUAGAAUGUCACUGUAGAAAUAAUAGUUCUUAACAUGGUGGUAGCUUAUUUUAGGUCUUCGAUUUGCUGUAGAAACUUUCAUCAGUUAUUUUUAAGUAGUUGUGUGCUAUAACCUUGGAUUGCUUAAGGUUGCUUCUACCUUUCUUUUUCUAUAGGUGCAUUUUCAGAUGCACAAAGUUUUUAAAUCAUUUAUGUUAGCAAUAAUUUCUGUGAUAUCUCCUUGCUUCCAUGUAAGCUUGUAGUUCGAGAAAUUUUUUUGUUAAUUUCUUUUCUUCUGGUGGGAAUUUCAUAAGAAAAUUGCACAAACCCCAGAGAAUUAAAUUCUCGUCUGUUUUUAUGAAUAUUUUCUCUCUUUCUGUCCUCUAAUUUUUUAUUAAUUUAUUUUUAAAAGAAAUAAUUCUGCGUCUUGUUUAUCGACCUGUAUUGGCAGCGUGUUGAUGAGAACUUUAUUUCCAUGGUCUAGUCACACUGAGAUAAUUAAAACUAAAUAGGUCCACUCCUGUUUCUCUGCGCUCAGUUCAUUCAGUUCAGUACAUUGUCAACAGAGGCACUGUUUGCUUCAGUCCUUCACCCUGUCCAGUGUUCAGCUUCUAAUUCAUCAAGAUUAAUAAUAAUCAGAGAGCUCCCACAUUGAGUAAGAGGAUAUUGAUUGCCAUUAAAAUGUUGGAUUGUGUCUUAAGAAUUCUAGUUUUGCUCCUUACUGUCACAGCACCUAAUUGAAUUUGGAUGGAUAAAACUAUUUCUAGGCUACAUCUGACGUAUGAUGGUGCACCAGAGCCCUUACUUUUUUAAAUAUAUAAGCCCUCUGGAAUAGGGAACAUUAGAAAAAAGUUAGUGGGGUUCCAAGAAAAAUUAUCUUAUUUUGGAAGAAAUGCAGAUAUACUUAAAAAAAAAAAGGAAAAAGAGCUAAUAAAUGCGGAUGCUGAAACAUAAAUAAUGCAUAAAAAUGGUCAGAAAAAGCAAAACUUCUAAUUUGAUUUUUUACAAUGUUUAAAAUGUGGAAAGUGAAAUGUAUGCAGAUUAAACUGUUUCAGAAAGAGGUUAUUAAAUACAAGUGUCAAUUGGUUUUAUUUGGUUAGGUUGUUCAUAAAAUUGACUGCAUGUCUGUCUAUGUGAACUUGCUGAAAAAGCUUGAGAACUCUUUAGCCUUUCAUGGGGUGGUCCUUUUCCAUAAAUUUUGUGGCUUCUGCAUAUAUGGGGGAAAAUAUUCAUUUGAUCCACAUCUUCAUGCACCAAUUCCAGAACGAAGAUGGAAAACUUACUUGUAUUCAAAUUGGAAAAAAAAUAGCUCUAUCAUAAUGUAAGAAAGCUUAGUGGAACCACCACGGGGAAGAGCAUAAAUGAUGCAUAAUGGAUGUAGUUCAAUACAAAAAUAAAUGAAUGAAAAUAAUAUUAUUUUGUACCUUUCAGGUUUUGGUUGUAACCUUCUCUGGGAAUUGCUAAUUAUGUUGCAGUGACUGGUAAUAUUGCAAGUUUAUUAUUAGUGCAAUUUUAAUUGUCUCCAUACAAUAAGAAAAUGGGUACAGAGAUGUCAGAACUGGUAAACAGAAAAUUGAAGCUGUGUUGUGGAAUGAAAUAAGGCUUGAAUUCAGCUUACACGUUAAACUGCUUUUGAAAAAUUAGUCAGCAAAACCAUGGACUUAUUUCAUGGAUAAACUGGACCUAAACCUUGCAGAUUCCUGCUCAAAACUAUUUUAAGAACACUGCAAUAGCUUCUUCCUUUGUGCUGUCUAAAAGUGUAGCUAAAUAUGUAUACAACUAUCAAACAAAUUGAAGAUGUGUCAAAAAAACCCCAAAACGUAGUCAAAUGUUUAAUACCCCAGCUACAGUUAUUUGAAAACCCUUCUCCCUUUGUAUCCCUUGUUACCAUUUGUAAAUUCCAACUCUUCCUUUUACAGGCAGCGGCUCAGACCACUCCUUUGCACUUACCACAUUUCCUCUUUUAAAGAUUGACAGGUAGUAUGUAGAGAGAAACAGAUUACAACAUUAAAUCUGCAUGUGUGGUUUUAUUUUGAAACUGGUGGAAAAUUAAAAAAACCACCCAAACUCAAACCAACAAAACAAACAAUUCACUAACAACUGAAUGGUGGCUCUUUUGCUUUCCAUUUCCAGCCAGAGAGGAUUUCAGCCACAUGCCAGUGGUUGUGUGAGGGUUGCAGAGCCAACUUGGGAAAUGGAGAUCAGAUUCCUUCGUCUAAGCCAGUUUAGGGACGAGGAGCUCAGAGGAUGGAGAAAGGCACAUGGUGGUUAUGUAUCCACCCUGGCAGAGCAGGUAAUGGGCAGCAGGACAUCUAAGACCCACCUCACUGAAAACUGAAACGCAAGAGGAGGGAGCUCUGCAGGAGGAAAUCUGCUGCAUUACCUAUGAACAGGACAAUGGCCCCCAAUGAGUCACCCUAUUCAUAUAUUUUUGGAACCCAGAGGAAUUGGUUUGACUAUUUACAGAUUAUAACAGUUGGUAGUUGAAUGUUUUAUUUUCAUUCCCAGUUGGUACAAUAUGUUCACAGCUGAUGCUAAUGGCUUGCCCAUUUGAUAUCACAUAUGGUCCACUAUUUGGGUCUCCUAAAGCUUUCUUUUGUGGUCAGGCUGCUUUAAAACUUUCAUAUAUUUAGGUUUGUUUUGUCUGCUGGAAAGGUGACUAAGAAACUCUGAAACUUGGCAGCUUUAGAGUAAAUCAGCAAUUCUGUUGAUAAAGAUUCAAAGAAUUUGUGUCUAAAUGUCCAGUAAAGAAUAUUUUUAUAUAAAAAUGCCUUACAGCAUCAUGUGAAAUUUUAAAAGAAAUGUCCUUUCCUUGUCUUUGAAGCUGUGAUUGACUUACCUUCCAAUGUAUUGGCACCAUUGAGUGUCAUCAGGACUACUUUUUCUGGGUGUUCUGUUGCCUUGGAAAACAAUUUAUGCAUAAUUUGUAUUGCUUAAAUCACUAUUUGUAUUUCUAUUUGAAUAUUAAUGUUCUGGUAAUGUUUUAUGAAAAGAGAAGAUUUGAAAAAGCAAACCAUUUUUUCCUUUGGUUUCUAGAAUAAGACCAUAAAAAAAGUAAACCAAAAAAAUAUGAGAACAAAAAUUAAAAUUGCAAGCCUGUCUGAAGUUAUUCUUCUAUGGUACAGAAGUGUUUAUAGUGACUCUAAAACAUAACUGAUAAAGCCAGAAUCUCAUAAAAAUAUUAUUUCCAAAACUAUUGCAUUACCCUCUGAGAGGUGAAAUUCUCAUUUAUUCGUAGGAGUAGAUCAUAAUAGCUCUAAUUCCCUGAGAAGUGGGCAUUGUAUGAUAAUUAAGCAGGGUAGUACAUUAAUUGUCCUCCACUUCACCUCUAGAUGUUUAAUUCCUUAUCUAGUCAACUAGAAAACAAUAAUGCUCACUUAUUUGUGCCUUACUGUUCAAAUAAUUUUUCUAACUGGGUAAUUUAUUUGAAAUAAAGCAGAAUAAGCAUAUUCAUGUGAAAGGGACAUUCAAAUCAUGUUAAAUUAACAUAUUAAAUGCCAUUAGGUGGUAGGAUGUGGGGUUUAUGGUUGUAUUUUUUCAGCCAUGCAACUUUAGCUGAAUAACAGCAAUGUGAUUUUGCAUGCAGGAAUAUUUCUCUAACUAGUGGGACAGAUUUGGCAGUUCUUGCCAUGUGACUACUGCUUUCUUGCAGCCUCUCUCCCAUCAAUGUUAGGAGAGCAGGUAUGUGUGUGUUGGAAGUAGUGCAUGUGUGUGUGACAUUUGGCUCCUGUGGCUGGAUUAAAUGAGGCAGCUUGGUGGUAGGACAGAGGCUCUGGCUUGUUUAGUUUAGGAUGAAAUUGUGCAUGUUGCUGGCUUAUAGUCAGUCCCUGAAAGCAGAUUGAAAUGGAACUGAAGUAGGAGGCUUUUUGAAGUGAAUAAACUCAGUAUGCAACCUGGAGCACUAGGGAAAAAAAGCCCAACUAAACCCAAAGUUUUUGGAAAUUAAACUAAUAGAUAACAUGCACAGACAGGAUCGUAUCUGAUUGCUCCUUAGAGAAUGAUAUGCUUCCUGGGGGAUUUUUUCCCUCAUUUGUUAAUAAUUUAUUGUUAUUAUAAUAAUUAUUGUUAUUAUUAUAUCACCCAAAACAUGUGAGUGCUCCAGCAGAAGUGUCUUCUGUGAUAUUUCCCUUCUCUCUGGGCUCAUGCAGCAGGGGUGAGUGGUCAUGUUAGGCAUUGCCCUGCCACUGGGGUCUCCUUCCAAGCACAGCAGCUGCCUAAGCACUGAUGCUUCUAGAGGCAGCUUGUGCUUCUUGUGCCUCUGGUGGCUGUUACCCACUCUGGGCCAAUGCUGAAGCUGUAAGUCAGACCCUUCCAAAAUACUGACCUCCCCCUCUGCCCAACCAAUCCUUUCCUUCCCAAAGCAAUAAGAUCUUUGCUGCUAUCUACUAAAUAUACUUCUUGUUUUGACUGAGGAACAACCUGAGGCUAGAGCUUUCUGAGGGGAAGACCGUGUGGAAAUGGUUUGCUCAGCCACCCUAGACCCAGUGUGGAAGGUACGAGGUGGGAUGGACUUGAUGAAGGCAGCCUCAACUUGGAAAACAGUUGAUUAGGAAAAUAACAUCAAGUUGUAAUUUAUCAGCUCUAGAUGUAUUUUAGGGAGUUGUCUCUCCUGAAAGGGAUUAAAUUACAUAUAGUGUUAACACAGAGUCUUCUGCAACAAUGUAAAUGAGUUGUUAACAUGGCACUUCAUUGCAAUAAUAAUUCAAAGCUAGUAGCAGGCUUGAUGGGUCUGCAAUAAAUGUUUUAUUAUUUAGAAAAAAUAUACUCUACAAGUUGCAAUGUGCCAUGCUCAUUCAUGCUGUAAAUCAACAAAGAUCAGCAGACUGAAUAGGGAAAAUGAAAAGCUUAUUUAGGAACUGACACAAGCUUUCAGAUGAGCAGGGAUGGCUGAAGUUAACUGCAUUCAUUUUUCUUUGCUUGUCACAGUUGCCACUCGAAUUUCACCGCUAAAGAUUGUGGGUAGUUUUGCUUUAUGAAAUUAUAUCUAUGAAAACAGUAUUUGCAUUUAUAUAGGCUUAGUUAUAAUAAAGUUAAACCUAGCACACCCUCUUGCCUCUGCAAACAAACAAACCAACCAGCCAACGAGAAACUUCAAUGGUAAAAUAAUAUUUAUUUCUCAGUUUUCCUGGAUCUGAAUAGGAUUCAGCUAAAUGGUUCUCACUGGCUGCUUUAAAGGCCCAAAGUUGGUGAUCAGGUGAAAUGCAGGAGUGCAGAGCUACGGUCACCCCUUCAGCUUCAGCUCUCCUGUAAGGCUACCUCCCUCCUCAGAAGCAUUGGGUGAAAGGAAUGGGAGACUAGCAAUUAACCUGGUCCUCAUGGUGUGGUUAUAAAGUGCCUGAAAUUGGCUCCAUUACCAUACUUUUGUCUCUCCUAACACCUGAAGACUCUCUUGAAGUUUGCAGGAUGGAAAAUGCAGGUCCUGGAUGCUGAAUAUUGGCUUGUCCUGAAAGCAGUACAUUUGAACAUGGAGUAAAACCCUUUGCAAAUUCUCUACAUUUAUGUCCUUAAAGAGAUGUGACUACCAUGGCUGAUCAGGGGAAGGCAGAACCAGGACAAGAAGACAAGCGAGUUAAGGUAAUGCAUCCCAUGCCUAUGUAGACUUGAAAAGGACAAGGUUUUCUAUGCCAGCUUCAGAAAUUAUUCCCCCUGCUACUCCUAAACCCCAGAAAGGAAUGAAGUGAACAUGAAAAUACUUUUUAAAGCUUUUGUCUGAUGAUGCCACACCCCUGGUUGUGGGUCUUCAAAGGGAAGAGCUGCUUUUUGCAUGGCAAUUAAGCUGGACCUGCCCAAUGAGGAUGGCAACAGGGACUGAGCACAUGAGGAGAAUGCUUCUGAACCAGACUGGGGUAACUGUGCACAAGCCUCUGACUGCAACACUGUCCUGAGAAAGCUGCCUAUGGAUGGAGGAAACAGUAGAUGAAAAGCCAGCAGAUUUCUGUUCAGGCCAAAGAUAAAAGGAUACAUGUUACUUUGGAGGAAUUUUGCCUCACAGAGUUGUAAUAUCAACAGGGUGCUGGAAACAUCUCUCAACUUGUGUGGGGAGCUUCAAUCCUGUACCUGAUGGGAAGGAAGGGAAGAGGAAACACUGACUAGACCUUUCUCCAGUUUGUCCUUGGAACAGUUUUCUUUGAGAGAAAGGCAUUUUUCAUUGCAGACAAUUGGUAAUGGUCAACUGGACAAGAUAGUGCUACAGGCAUGCAAUGCUGCACAGUGUUGUCAGAAACAAAGAUUACAGAAGUCAUCUUCUGGACAAAUUACACCACAGGGGUGAACAGAACACACCAGGGGUAUCCCAUGGCAAUGAGAUACCCCUGCUCAGAUACCCUAGCUGAUUCAGCUGGCCACCAAGUCAAAUGGAAUAGAAGAUGCCAUCAGCAUGAUUGUAAGUCACAUGAGGAGCAGCUGAAGGAGCUCAAGUUGUUUAAUCUGGAGAAAAGGAGGGUGAGAGGAGACCUUAUCUACAACUACCUGAAAGGAGGUUGUAGUAAGGUGGGGGUCAGCCCUUUCCCCCAGGCAACCAGCGACAGGACAAGAGGAAGUGGCCUCAAGCUGUGUCAGGGGAGAUCCAGGUUGAACAUCAGGAAGGAUUUCUUCACUGAAAGCGUGGUCAAAUGUUGGAAUGGACUGCCCAGAGUGGUGGUAGAGUCACUAUCCUUGGAAGUGUCCAAGAAAUGACAAGAUGUGCCACCUAGUGCUAUGGUUUUGUUGACAAGGUGGUGUUUGGUCAAAGGUUGGACUUGAUGAUCUUGAGGUCUUUUCCACCCUUAAUGCUUCUCUUAUACUUGCCUCCUAGAUGGUAAGUACCAGCUGUCUCAGGACACCACUGAUGUCUUGGUGAAGCUGCUGUGAUUGGGAAGUCCCACAGCCACUUCUUGGCCUUCCACAACAGGUCUUAGUGUGCAGCAAAAGGAAGGAGAUUUAUGCUUAGAUGAUGUUAGGCUGGUGGAAUGUUAGUGCAGGAUGCUCCAGAAAGGCUGAUUACAAUGGGCUUUUUCUCUCUAGCUAAAGAAAUCCUUUACUAGAAAGCUGGGAAGGAGGAGGCUGAUAUUCAGAAACAUAG